GGUUUUUGUUUUGUUUUGUUUUGUUUUUGGCCAUGCCUGAGGCAUACGGACGUUCCCAGGCCAGGGAUUGAACAUUGAACCCACACCUCUGCAGCAACCCAAGCCGCUGAAGUGACAACGUGGGAUCCUAAUCCCUUGUGCCCAAUCAUAAGCACUCAAUACAAAGAUUGCCUGAAUAAAUUAUGAAUGAAACAGAUAGAUCAGUUUGUUAUCAUCAAUGGAUGGUUAGGAAAAGAAAAGGCAAAUAGUGGCAUCAAAGCCCCUGUUUGCUGAGAAUCAGGCCAUCUCUGUGUCCUGUACACACAGAUGUUUGCGUUGGAGAUGAAGCAGCUGGCGGGGUGACCCUCCCCUCGGCCCCACAGCAGCCUGGGCUGACAACAGCCUUCCCUGCAGAAGCUCAGGCCGCACUUGGGGGGCUGGCUUCCACCAGAAGGCGUCUGUCAAGCUUGUCCCUAUUAACUAAUCCGCAGAGGCAAAGAGGAUUUGGUCCUUUUUCAAUAUUCUCCAAGGUUAUCAAGUCUCAAUCUUCGUGGCUUUUGUCACUUACUUUUGUUCCCAAAUCCAACUGGUGAGGAUUUCUAUUCAGAUUUAAUUAAACCCUUAAGGCACUUGCUGUAUGAUGCUUUUCUGCUCUUUUUUGACUCUGUGCCUGCCCGAGCAGAAAGAUAAGAUAUCAUUCAUCAUUAAACACACAUUUGUAGAGCUACAAAGUCCUAAGCAUAGUGUCGUGUCGCAGAUGCAAAAUAAACAAGGCCCCGUCCUUGCCUCUAAGGUGCUCAAAUUCUAGAGGGAGAGGGUGACUUAGGGACAAAUACAACACAAGGUUACAAGCCCAGAAUGGACAAAGGGUUGUGGGAAACUGAGAAGAGCACAGUGAAGUCUGCAGGGAGCAAUGAGCUUUGAAAGACAGGAAGCUGCUUACAGAAGAGGCAAAACAUGGGAUAGUCAGAAUCACUGCAGAAGAUUCCCCCCAAACAGCAUGACCCCUGCCUCACCAAGGCGACACAAAACAAGAGCCACCUCCCACUGGUCUUGAGCUUGAACAGCCCUCCACUUAAAAAUAACUUGAGGAGUUCCUGUUGUAGUUCCACAGAAAACAAACCCGACUCGCAUCCACGAGGGUGCAGGUUCGAUCCCUGACCUCACUCAUGGGUUAAGGAUCUAGUGUUGCUCUGGCUCUGGCGUAGGCCAACAGCUAUAGCUCCGAUUUGACCCCUAGCCUGGGAACCUCCAUGUGCCUUGGGCAGCGGCCCUAAAAAGCAAAAACGAAAAAACAAGACAAAAAGACAAAAACACAAAAAAUAACUUGAGGAGUUCUCAUUGUGGCUCAUCGGGUUAAGAACCCAACACAGUGUCCAUGAGGAUGCAAGUUCAAUCCCUGGCCUCACUCAGUGGGAUAAGGGUCUGGCCUUGCUACAAGCUGCAGCAUAGGUUGCAAAUGUGGCUCGGAUCCCGCAUUGCUGUGGCUGUGGCAUAGGCCAGCAGCUCCAGCUCUGUGUCAACCCCUAGCCUUGGAACUUCCAUAUGCCGCGAGUACAGCCCAAAAA
ensembl:lncRNA